GACAGAGGGGGCAAGCGUUGCUCGGAAUUACUGGGCGUAAAGCGCGCGUAGGCGGCUUUGCAAGUCGGGUGUGAAAUCCCCAGGCUUAACCUGGGAACUGCAUUCGAGACUGCAUUGCUAGAGUAUGGGAGAGGGAAGUGGAAUUUCCGGUGUAGCGGUGGAAUGCGCAGAUAUCAGGAGGAACACCGGUGGCGAAGGCGGGUCUCUGGGCCGUUACUGACGCUGAGGAGCGAAAGCAUGGGGAGCGAACAGG
rnacentral:rRNA from 1 species